UGAAAGACGAUGGUAGUGAGAUGCGGUCCUUGCAGCCAUCUCCCUACUUCGCCUUUUCAUG
rnacentral:pre_miRNA from 1 species